UGCGUAGGCGGACUAAUAAGUCAGUGGUGAAAUCUCUCGGCUCAACCGGGAAACUGCCAUUGAUACUGUUAGUCUUGAGUUCGGUUGAGGUAGGCGGAAUGUGUAAUGUAGCGGUGAAAUGCUUAGAUAUUACACAGAACACCAAUUGCGUAGGCAGCUUACCAGACCGACACUGACGCUGAGGCACGAAAGCGUGGGGAGCGAACAGGAUUAGAUACCCUGGUAGUCC
rnacentral:rRNA from 1 species